rnacentral:lncRNA from 1 species
UUCAUGUUUUGUUAUAUAUAUAUACACAUGUAUACACAUAUAUAUUAGAUCACUAUUGUAGAUGAUAGGCUUUAUAUAUAUGAUUAAUAAAUAAAUUCACAUAUAGGAAAAAAAAAGUUAACACAACAUUAUGCAAUUUCCCAGAGCUCUGAAUAACUGCUUGGAGCAAGCCUUGCCAAUAGAAAUCUCAGCAGGGAAUUAGCAGGUGCUGCCUCUACAGAUGGUUUGAGAAGCCAAGGCUUUGGUCUGGGGCAAUGAGAAAAGAGAGAUUUGGGGCUUCUCACUAUUCCUGAAUAACUGUGAAUUUGGAAUGAUACUUUUAGCCACCAUAUAACCUGGGAGGGUUGGCAGCCUAGAAACACUUGUGUAUAGUUACAGGGUAGGAAUGGGUAGAGAAGAGAGGUUGGUGUCAAUGUGGAGGCCUCUAGUAAACUGAGCUUUUGAUUUCCACACUGGACAACGAGGGCCACAUAAGCGAUAUUCUUCUAAUACAAUCAAUGAAUUUUCAGAGUUCCCUUAAAAAUCGUUUCCAUUGUAAAUUUGACUUGACCUUGUUUCCUCAUGACUGCCACCACUAAACCUCAAUUGUCUUUACUUCUUUCUGGGUAGGGAGCUUUAGUUUCAUACAGUUAGUUUUUCACUGUAUUCCUUCUAGUGAAUAUUGUAAAAGUUUUAUUUCUCUUCUACAGAAUAGAAUAUGCUUGCUUCAAUGUCCUUGGCCGCAAAACUUAGGGACUCUGCCAAGUGAUAUUGUUGCAGAAAAAUAACAUAUGGCCCUGGAGAGGCAUCCAUAGCAUAAUAGAUUGCAAUGUGUGGGGAGGAAGAAAGACACAUCCAUUAGUGACAACAUAAGUGUGGUAAGUUACCCAACAGACUAUUUUCUGUUGCUCAUGAAACUUUCCUACUUGAACCUGUCUGUGAUGUUGCUGAAAUGAC